GAAUACUAUGCAUCUGAAAAAAGAAUGAGUAAGAUUUCUAUGAACUGAUAUGGAGUGAAUUCCAGGAGAUAAUUCUCAAUUAAUAAAAGU